rnacentral:rRNA from 1 species
GACGAACGCUGGCGGCGUGCCUAACACAUGCAAGUCGAGCGAUGAAAGCCUUAUGAACUAUUCGUAGUGAUUGAGGCCGGAUUAGCGGCGGACGGGUGAGUAACGCGUGAGCAACCUGCCUUAAACAACGGGAUAGCCUCGGGAAACCGGGAUUAAUACCGUAUGAGACCCCGCCUUCACAUGAAGAAGAGGUUAAAGAUUUAUCGGUUUAAGAUGGGCUCGCGUCUGAUUAGCUAGUUGGUGAGAUAAAAGCCCACCAAGGCAACGAUCAGUAACCGGCUUGAGAGAGUGAACGGUCACAUUGGAACUGAGACACGGUCCAAACUCCUACGGGAGGCAGCAGUGGGGAAUACUGCACAAUGGGGGAAACCCUGAUGCAGCGACGCCGCGUGAGCGAUGAAGGAAUUCGUUUCGUAAAGCUCUGUCCAAGGGGAAGAUAAUGACAGUACCCUUGGAGGAAGCCCCGGCUAAAUACGUGCCAGCAGCCGCGGUAAAAC